rnacentral:lncRNA from 1 species
UUAUCACAUAGUUGUACUAUAAUUUAUUUAAACAAACUCUCAUUUUCUCCCCAAGAUCUGUGUCCCAGUCCCAUAUUCCAACUAAAGCCAAAUUUUAAAGCUAUCUGCAGGGCCCCAGAAGACAGCAAGACGGCAAUAGAUGAUUUGUUCUGUUCCUCCCCAAGACUUCAAAGAACUGCAAGAAGAUUAACUGCUCUGUUGCAUUUCCACAGUGACUACAGUGACAACUCAGCUCAAGGCUACUGCAAAGAUAGGACUGAGGCUGAGCUUCUUUCAGCAAGCAAAAGAAACCAGCUGAACUCCUAGGAUUGUUUUGAAAGCCAAGGCAAACGGCACAUUUGAGAACUGAAUUUGGCUCCAUUUGUGCAAGAGAAAUUUCACAUGUGAGAUCAUGCAGUCUUAUUCUUUCUGUAUCUGGCUUAUUUCAUGGAGUAUAAUGCCAAUUACAACAACAUGGAUGAAACUGAAGGAUGAGAUACUAUUUUCUACCUGUCAAGACUGGCAAAAAUUUAUAAGCUUGACAAUACACUGUGUUAGUAGGCUGGGGAAGCAGGCAUUUUUAUACAUUGCUGAAAAAAAUGUAAAAUGGUACAACAUUUAUGGAGGUGACUUUGUUGAUGCAUUUACCCUUUGACCCUAGAGUCUACCUUAAAGAUAUGCCUUAACAUUAAAAAAAUGCAAAAGUUUAUUACAGCAUUAUUUAUACUGAAAAUGUUUUGUGUGUUACCUAAA